UUCACCCUGAUGGCCUGGCUGUUCUGGAACUUCUGACCUUAGGUAAUCCACCAGCCUUGGUCUCCCAAAGUGCUGAGAUCACAGGCAUAAGCCACUGUGCCUGGACUGAUCUGCCUUUUUAACAGAUUUUCUUGGUAAUCACAUAUCUACCAAUGGUCAUCUGCUUUCCACUUUUAUCAGAAACACACAUUUUCAUCACAUUUAGUUUGGAAUUAUGGAGAGAGUCUGGGAAACAGGAAUAGCAACAUUUAAUACUGCAGUGCUCAGCUCUAAUGUCAACAUACUCUUGUGUCAGACUUAGUCAUUAGUCACAGUUAUUAGUUACAAGUCACAAGUCAUUAGUCACAAGUCACAUAAAUUCACAAGUCAUUAGUUAAAAUAUUAGCUUGAGAAAGAUUUACUUUUUGUAAAUUGCAGUGGCUCAAGAUUAUCCCUGUAAACGUGCACUCUGACAUUUUCUUCAUUGCAAGGGAAAAGGAGGGAAGCGUAUCUAAAGUUCUGAGAACUGAGUAUAAGUCAAGACUAUGACCAAGGAUUCUUGUGAGGAUUAAAUGAGCUGCUACAUAUGAAGUACUUAGCAUGGUACCUGGCAUACAGAAAAUAUGCUGUAAAUGUUUGUUAAUAGUAUUACCAUACCACAGCCAACCAACAACACCCCCCACACCACCAAAAUAACCAAUUUUUUUAUUAUUAGGCAUAUUACCAAUUAUGUGUGUCAUGGCAGAAGGGAAAGCAAUUUUGAAAACGUAUGGCUCUAUAAUCUGACCAGUGACCUUAGAUUGGAUUUCCCAGAUGGACUCCCACUGUUCCUUCCCUCCUAAAGCAGACUUGCCAGUUUUGUCCUAGCACUCCUUCACCACUGGCCUGACAAUGAAUUUUGUUUUUUUUAAUUUUUAAUUUUUGUGAGUGCAUCAUAGAAAUUUAGAUUUAUAGGGUACAUGAGCUAUUUUGAUACAAGUAUACAGUGUGUAACAAUCACAUCAAGGUAAAUGAUGUAUUCAUCACCUCUAGAAUUUGUCCUGUCUUUGUGUUAUAAUCUAAGUAUACUCUUUUAGUCAUUUAAAAAUUUACAAUUAAAUUAUUAUUGGCUAUAGUAACCCUCUUGUCUUAUCAAAUACUAUACCUUAUUCCUUCUGACUAUAUUUUUGGACACAUUAACCAUCUCCACUUCCCUGACCCCUCUACCCGCUCCAGUCUCUAGAAACCAGGUCGUUCUACUCUCUAUCUCCAUGAGCUCAAUUUUUUAAAAUUUUUAACUCCCAAACAUUAGGGAGAACAUGUGAGAAAAGUUUGUCUUCCUAUUCCUGGCUUAUUUCACUUAACAUAAUGAGCUCCAGUUCCAUCCAUGUUGUUCCAAAUGAAAGGAUGUCAUUCUUUUUAAAGGCUGAACAGUACUCCAUUGUGUACCACAUUUUCUUCAUUCAACUGCUGAUGGCCACUUAGGCUUCUUCCAGUUCUUGGCUAUUGUGAACAGUGCUGCACUAAACAUGAGGGUGUAGAUAUCUCUUUAUUAUACUGACUUACUUUCCUUGGGAUGUAUACCUACCAGUCGGAUUGAUGGAUCAUAUGGUAGCUUUAUUUUUAGUUUUUUGAGGGACCUCCAAACUGUUCUCCACAGUAGUUGGACUAAUUUACAUUCCCACAAUAGCGUAUGAAGGUUCCUUUUGCUCCACAUUCUCAGCAGCAUUUGUUAAUGCCUGUCAUUUGGAUAAAAGUCAUUUUAACCAGUGAAAUGUUAUAUCAUUGUAGUUCGAUAUGUGUUUCUCUGAUGAUCAAAUUGUUGAGCACCUUUUCAUAUAUUUGUUUGCCAUUUGGAUGUCUAUUUUUGGGAAAUGCCUAUUCAGAGUUUUUUGCCUGUAUUUUAAUUGGAGUAUUAGAUUUUUCUUUAUUGAGUUAUUUGAGAUCCUUAUAUACUCUUGGCAUUAAUCCCUUGUCAGAUGGAUAGUUUGCAAAUAUUUUCCCCCAUUCUGUGGAUUAUCUCUUCACUUUGUUGAUUGUAUCCUUUGCUGCCCAGAAGCCUUUUAACUUGAUGUGAUCUCAUUUGUCCAUUGCUGUUUCGGUUUCCUGUCCUUGUGGGGUAGUACUCAAGAAUUCUUUGCCAAGUCCAAUGUCCUACAGAGUUUCCCCAAUACUUCCUUCAGUAAUUUCAUAGUUUGAGGUCUUAGACUUAAAUCCUUAAUCCAUUAAUCCAUUUUGAUUUGAUUUGUAUAUGGUGAGAAAUAAGGAUCAAGUUUCAUUCUUUUACAUGUGGAUAUCAAGUUUUCCCAGAAUGAUUUAUUAAAGAGGAUGUCCUUUCCCCAUUGUAUGUUCCUGACACCUUUGUCAAAAAUGAGCUCACUGUUGAUGUAUGGAUUUAUUUAUGGGUUCUUUAUUCUGUUACAGUGGUCUAUAUGUUUUUAUGCCAGUACUAUGUGUUUUAGUUACAGUAGCUUUGUGGUAUAAUUUGCAGUCAGGUAAUGUGAUUCUUCUAGUUUUUUUUCUUUGUCCUCAGGAUAGCUUUGGCUAUUCUGGGUUCUUUGUGGUUCUAUAUAAAUUUUGGAGUUGUUUUUUAUGUUUCUCUGAAGAAUGUCAUUGAUAUUUUGAUGGAGAUUAUAUUAAAUCUAUAGAUUGCUUUGGGUAGUAUGGAUGUUUUAGCAAUUUUGAUUCUUCCAUUCCAUGAACAUAGAUAUCAUUCCUUUUUUAAAUGUCAUAUUCCAUCAGUCUUUUAUAGUUUUUACUGUAGAAAUCCUUCACUUUUUUGCGUAAGUUAAUUCAUAGCUAUUCUAUUUUAUUUAUAAGUAUUGUAAAUAGACUUAAUUUCUUGAUUUCUUUUUCUGAUUUUUCACUAUUGUCAUACAGAAACACUACUGAUUUUUGUAUGUUAAUUUUGUAUCCUGAAACUUUGCUGAAUUUGUUAUUAGUUCUAGUAGAUUUUGGUGGAGUCUUUGUUUCUUUAAGCAUAAGAGCAUAUCAUCUACAAACAAGGAUACUUGGACUUUUUCCAUUCCAAUUUGGAUACCCCUUAUUUCUUUCUAUUUUCUGAUGGCACUAGCUAGGACUUCUGGAACUUUGAAAUUCUUUACAACAUAGCAUUAUUUUUUUACCCCAAAAAUUUGGCCAAAGUUAGAAUGGGAGCUGAUACCUAUCCCUCAUCACAACAUUAUAUUUAAUAGCCAUUGAAUUGCCUUCUAAUUAGUAUAAAAGGAAGGGAAUCUUACUUUCUGUCCAUCUCUUUUUAAUCAAAGAAUAAAAACACUAAGAGCAAAAGCAAUAGUGACUUAUUAUUUCUACAGUAUGUGGUACAAGGAAUCUUUUGUAACCCCACAAAAGUCACAUACAUUAUUUUGCUAGUUCAUUCACCAACGUCUCUAAAUUUAAAAACAAAAAUAACUAAAAUAUCAUUUAAAAUUUAAUUACAUAUGAGGUGAAAAAGAGACUAGGCAAAACUCAAUUUUUUCUUCAGUGUUUCUGCAUAUAGUGAUAUAAUGUAGUCUAUUUAGAAAAAUGAAUUUAAGUAAAGUGACUCAACCAACAAACAUUGUAAUCCUAUUUACUUUCUCCUUUUUUUUUUUGUAACAGUCUUGCUCUCUUUCCUUCAUCAUAUUGCUAUUCUACAUCCAUGCUCACCCCAACCUACUUUCCCUUUUCUCCCAGAAUGGAUAAAUAAUGUGCCUUAUGAAUUGAACAGACUUUUCACAAUGUGAGAAUGUCCCUCCAAUUCACUAACUCCAUAUAUAUUGAACUAAUAACCCAAACACAGCAAGAGAACAACCCCUUUCUCAGGUUGAUGAAACAUAUCAGGCAUUGGAAAUCUCCUUUUCAUGCAGAGACCCAGUAGAAGAUCCUCUCAGAAAUGAAUAUCUCUUGGCAGACCAAGCGUACAUUCUGUUUGUUUUGUGCUCAGUUCAUUUUGUCCCUAGAAAGUGAUAACAUAAAGCAGUCAACUAUAAACAAGACCAGUGGUAUUUAUAGUUAGCUGGUAGGCAUGAGACAAAGUGGUAAACUUCCUUUAAAGAACCAAGCCGAGCUUACCUACAUUGAAAUUCAUGGACUCAUUUCUCACUGAACUUCAGUGUAUAGCACUUGCUCAUAAAUGCAAAAUAUCUCUACUGAAUUACAAAAUCAGUUCCUUCUUUUCCAUUGAGUAUUUUGUGAAAGACUUUAGGGAGCAUAAUGGAAAGGUGCUGUUAGAUAAAGAAGCAUAAGAUAAUAAGGGAAAAAAUGAAAACAAGCUUCCCAGGAUGAUUUCAAGGAGACUGACAUAAUGACCAGAAAAUCCCAAAGAUAGGUGUAGCAUGUGAAUUAUGUGAGUUAUAUAAACUAUAUUCACUUCCCAAGGAGUCUGAUAACUAACGCUAGGUAUAGUUAUCACCACAUGACUGGCUCUAUUUUAUUGGUCAUACUAUAGUAAUUAGCAAAAUGUUAGGGUUGACUUUGUAAUGAUGUAUCUUUUAUAUUAAAAGAUAAUAUAAAAGGUGCUUUGGUCUGGUUUAUUGUUAAGAACUGACUCUGCUCCAAUCCCCAGCUCCUCUCUGCAUGCCAGUGCCUAGGAUGUAUGUAGCUACUUUCAUCAGAGAGCUGGUGGCAUGUUCCUUAAAAGGAAAUAUUAUUUUGAACAUGAAAACAACUUUUUUUUUUAACCUAUCUAGUAUCAUCAUUGGUGACUGAGCAAAGCUUUUGGUAUAAACAGAAAGGCAUAUGACAAGUAGAAACCAAAUAAUGCUUGGAAGUGUGCUUUGAAGAAAACAGCGAUGCUGUUUUAUGAGUCCAGUUGUAUCUCAAGGAUUUCUACAUACUUUGCUGUCUUUUGUGCUUUCAAGAAUGCAGCCAGAAUUGUGCCAGCACUGAAGGUCAAACAUGAAGUAGAGAGUGGGCAGCCAAAGAGAUCAACAGUCAAGGUCUGAACUUUAUAAUAUAGCUGUUGUUCAAAGACAACUCAUGUGCGGCAUUUCCCGGUUUUUGCUUUGUCUUCCAUGAAAAGUGUUGUUGUUCCAGUGAUGUUUGUAUAAGUGCUGGAUGAGGUAAGAAAAGAAAAAAGAGAUGGAGCCUUCUCAGGGUUUCAAGAAAUUCUUUUCUGGUUUAGCUUGAGAUGCCAGUGGUUAUGAGAAGGCGGUUAAAAUCCUGUAUGUAUUUUCUUUCCAUAAUCUUAGUUGUCUCCCAGUUUUAAGAUCAGCUUUUCUGAAACACAAGAUGACAAAUCCAAGGGACUGAAAUCCUGUAUAUUCUGAUGAAAUACAAAUAGACUAAUAUUUAUAUAUAAAACAAUUCGACGUAAUAUAAAUAAUUUGCCCAGGUGUUCUAAAAAAAGAAGCUAUUGCAUCAUUUAGAAACAAGAUUUUUUUACUAAACAAUCAGGAGUAUGGAAUCCAAUUGCAAGUUUACCAUUACUGUUUUUCAACAGUAUUCAAAAUGCCCAUAUCUUGUUUCAUUCUUUAACUAGAUUUCAUUCUUUAACCAUAGUAUUUUAAGCCUAAAUAUCUUUUUAAAGGAAAUUACUUUAAAAAUAUAUAAAUUCAUCAUUUGUAAACAAAAAGAAUAUAUCCACAUUAAAGGAACAGUGAUUAUCAGAUUCAUGCAGUGUACUCAGCCUGUCACUGAAAAAUGCUGUUUCUUUAAAAGCAAAGAUUUUGCUUUUCAUUAUUAUCCUUAGUUUUUCAACAUAUAUUUUUGGUAGAUAUGUGUUACUUUCAUGGAUAAAUUACAUGUUAGAAAUCAAGCUUAGAAAGUAUUGUUUAACCAGUCCUAAGACAUAAGGUUUUAUUGGUAUGACUUGGUUGUCAAGAACAUAAAAGGUAAAUUUAUGGAUUUUGCUUUCUCCAUUUAUAGGAAAUUAAAUUCUCCUCCUUUCCAUCAAAUGUCACCCACACCUUUCCACGGAGCCUGAAGACUGACAAGUAAAUGCUUAUUUAGAGUUAUGCACUUACUCGAGAAAACCGGGUACUUAUUGGAGAAGAGCAAAGUGACACCUAGAGGGAGGGAUGCGGAAGGAGGGUGAGAUUUGCUGAAAAGGAGAGGAGUAAGGUGCAAAAAAGAACAUUACCUAUCCCCCAAGUCUGUUUGGGUAUGGGACCUUUGUCCUCACUCAUGUGGCUACUGAAAAGAUCUUAGAAUCUAUUUUGCAUAGAAUCUCUUUGAAAAUAUAUCAUUUAUGGUCCUUUAGGGCAGCAACUAUGUUUUUCUGCUGAUAGACACUGGUGUUUGGGAGACGUUAAAUAAAUAUUUGCUCAAUGAGAAUGUUACAUAUUUAAAGAGGUGAUAAUUUUAUUAUAACCAUUAUUGUAAAUACCUUGAUAAUUUCCAUUUGGAAUGGUGGCCUCAACAGGUUGAAAAGUGGAGAAUCUUAAAGAGUAUGUGAAAUUAACUUUCAGAAUAUUUUUUCCAUUGAGCCUAGAGUAAGUCAGAUGUAACAGAUGAAAUUAAAUGAGCAAAUUUCCCAGUUAAAAUGUCAGUGAAGAUAUCUGAAGACUUGCAAAUCUGUAAUUACAACAUGGAAUAGUAGUGUUACAAUUCAGAUGACACUUUGGACAUUAUCAAAUGCACCUUUCAUCCUUCACUUUAACUUGGAGAAUUAUUUCAAACUAUCCUAAGGGAUGGAUGUGUUAAAGUUUAAUAUAUCACAAGAGGUCUUAUUAUUCAUUAUGCAACCACACUAUAAAGUAAAAAAUAUAGAAAUAUCAUGACUUCAAAAGAUGAACUUGAUAUCAGUUCUUUUUAACUUUAGAAACUCAUUUAAUUCUUUUUAAAAGAAGUAAAAUUUUAGCAGUCUUCCAUUUAAUUAAUAAAUAGAUACAAAGUCUAGAGAUAUCAAAAGAGUCCAAAUAGUCCAAAUAUGUUGCUAUUCUCAUAUUUUAUAGUUAUGUCCCAUUCUAAUUACUCAUUAUAUUUAGAUAUACCAGAUUUAUGGUGAUUAAUUUACAUUUCUUUUAACACUCUCUGUUUUAUUUUAUUUAUGAAAACAAAGGCUCAAAUGGAUAAAUUUCUCUUCCCAAAUCACAAUAAUGUUUUGUGGCAGAGCUGAGAGUAUGUGUGUGUUUGUGAAUUUUCUGGCCAAACUAUAAUUUACGCUUUCUUGGUAGCUGAUAAUUUUGCUAAUGUAUGAUGAUUCCUUGGGAAUUCUGGAUCUCAAAAUUAUUAUUUGAAAAUAAUAAGAUGAAUAAGUAGGAUCAAUAAAGAAAUUGAAUAAUGGUGUUGGAUUUCAUAUAGCAUUAAUGAUGACCCAAAAUAAUAAUCCUAUUUGGCUAUGUGAUCCUAGACCUAUUAGGAACUUGGAUAUUAAUAUUUGAAGAAAUUUUAGAAAUCACUGUCUGCUGUUUUACAAUAUCCCCCAGGUCAAAUAAAUAAUUGCAGACUAAAAAAACUAUCUAACUCAGGUUGCCUAAUAGAAAUAGAGUGUAGGUCAUAAAUUUGAGCCCUAUUUUAAAUUUUUCAGGAGCCUAAUUAAGAAUAAAAUAAAUAAGAUUCAUUCAUAUAUUUUACUUAAUGGAAUAUAUCUCAAAUGUUAAUUUUAAUAUUUUGUGAAUAUAAAACUAUUAAUAAGAUAUGUUACAUUGACUUUUUGUACUGACUUCAAAAUCUAUGUGUAUUUUACACUUAAAACACAUUUGAAUUCAACAAGCAAUAUUUCAAGUGCUCAAUAGCCACUUGUGGCUAGUGGCUACCUCUGAACAAUACAGGAUCUAAGUGGUUUACUCUGCUCCAGCAGUGAGAGAGAGGAGGGUUUAGAGGGAGUUGAUUAGCAGAUUACUGUGGAGAGAUGUUUCAACUAAGGAGCUGGAAUAGGGCAUUAAAACAUGUGAAAGGCUGACACUUCAUUUCGUAAAUGAGGGCAGUGGAGUGCAGAGGUAUUGAGCAGCCUGCCUAAGAGGCCAGAACUGUAGAAGUAGCCGAGCUGGAAACAGAGCUUGGUUCAUCUUGUAAUUUUAGUCCUUUUUCCAUUAUACUGUAUAUCUUCUCUGGGAUAAUAGAAAUCAGUAAAUAAUGGUAGGAAAAUCAUCCUUCUACGUAAAGGCUCCAUAUAGCAGAAGCCUCCUUCCUUAUGGAAAUAUCCAUGAUUAUUGGAAGAAAAACCUCUAUUUGAUUUGUUUACCCAGGUGACUUCCUUUUAAUGGAUGUGUUAUAUUAAUAACCGCACUUUGGUGUUGGUGUAACAGCAUGGCACCUCAUGAUUUUAUUAAAAGAAAGCAUUUCCCCUGAGAAAUACGUGUGAAUUGCUAUUAAUUUGUUAUAUUUUUGUUUUGUAUUAUAUGUAACACAACUUCUAAAUAUAAAAUUUAAGUGUAAGUGAAAAUGGCUCUACUAUUUAUAUUUAGUAUUUUAUAAUAUCUCCUUAUUAAAUUUUAUAAUUGCAGAAAUUAUAGAUGUUUUGCAUAUUGUGGCCUGCAAAGGUAACUGUUUUUUUUUAAACAAAAUAAAUGUAUUUUGUUCAUUUGUUCAGAUAAUCUGUACUAAACCCUAAAUGUAUGUCAAAUAACUUGUUUGAUUAUUGGAGUAAAAUUAGGAUAAGGUAGCAUGGUUUCAGCCUCCUAGAGCUAACACUUUAUUUUGGAAAACCAAUAAUAAAUAACUAAAAAUAAAUAUACAGUUAUACACCAUGUUAAGUGUUGUAAAGAGAAAUGAAAUCAUGUGCUGAAAUAGACAGUUAAAGGAUGAGUUGGCAAAUUUCCUCUAGGUAGAGAGGUCAGGGUUAGAGAAGAG